rnacentral:tRNA from 1 species
ACCUGGCUGGCUCAGUUGGUGGAGCGUGUGACUCUUGAUCUUGGGGUCGUGAGUUCAAGCCCCACGUUGGGUG